GCGCUUCCAGGCUGCCAGCCCUUCUGAGACUGGCUUGGGGGCUGCGGGGGCUGUGCUGUGGGGCAGUGCUCCCGGGCUGCUUUGGACUUCCAGCGGCUCCAGGCAGCAGCUCCCAGAGCCUCCCAAGGAGGCUCCAAGGGGCUGCAUUGGGCCAGGGCAUCCUUUCACCCUCCUGACAUUCCACCUCUCCCUUCCCCACACGGACGCACUUGACUUGCUCAGCCCUCUCCGGCACUGCCGGUCGGGAUCCCCCCACUCACAGGCCCAGCCCUGCACGGCCACACUGCCCCAGCCCGCAGCAGGACUUCCCCCUCUCGUCCCCGCAUCCCUCCCUCCGCCCCAGGCAGCGCCCUUCUCCUUCGCCCCACCCAA